GUUGCAGCAGUGGCAUUUUGGUUUUUGGAGACAGGGUGACGUGUCAGAGACAAUCAAAGUCUUCUUUGAGCAGAGCAAGUCUUUCCCCCCAGCUGCCAAGAGCCUCCUUACCAUCCAGGAAGUGGAUGAGUUCCUUCUGCGGCUGUCCAAGCUAACCAAGGAGGAUGAGCAGCAACAGGCACUACAGGACAUUGCCUCCAGGUGUACAGCCAAUGACCUUAAAUGCAUCAUCAGGUUGAUCAAACAUGAUCUGAAGAUGAACUCAGGUGCAAAACAUGUGUUAGACGCCCUUGACCCCAAUGCCUAUGAAGCCUUCAAAGCCUCACGCAACCUGCAGGAUGUGGUGGAGCGGGUCCUUCACAACGCGCAGGAGGUAGAGAAGGAGCCGGGCCAGAGACGAGCUCUGAGCGUCCAGGCCUCGCCGAUGACACCUGUGCAGCCCAUGUUGGCGGAGGCCUGCAAGUCCGUUGAAUAUGCAAUGAAGAAAUGUCCCAAUGGCAUGUUCUCUGAAAUCAAGUACGAUGGAGAGCGAGUCCAGGUGCAUAAGAAUGGAGACCACUUCAGCUACUUCAGCCGCAGUCUCAAGCCCGUCCUUCCUCACAAGGUGGCCCACUUUAAGGACUACAUUCCCCAGGCUUUUCCUGGGGGCCACAGCAUGAUCUUGGAUUCUGAAGUGCUUCUGAUUGACAACAAGACAGGCAAACCACUGCCCUUUGGGACUCUGGGAGUGCACAAGAAAGCAGCCUUCCAGGAUGCUAAUGUCUGCCUGUUUGUUUUUGAUUGUAUCUACUUUAAUGAUGUCAGCUUGAUGGACAGACCUCUGUGUGAGCGGCGGAAGUUUCUUCAUGACAACAUGGUUGAAAUUCCAAACCGGAUCAUGUUCUCAGAAAUGAAGCGAGUCACA
rnacentral:sRNA from 1 species